rnacentral:rRNA from 1 species
GAGUUUGAUCUUGGCUCAGAUUGAACGCUGGCGGCAGGCCUAACACAUGCAAGUCGAGCGGUAGAGAGAAGCUUGCUUCUCUUGAGAGCGGCGGACGGGUGAGUAAUGCCUAGGAAUCUGCCUGGUAGUGGGGGAUAACGCUCGGAAACGGACGCUAAUACCGCAUACGUCCUACGGGAGAAAGCAGGGGACCUUCGGGCCUUGCGCUAUCAGAUGAGCCUAGGUCGGAUUAGCUAGUUGGUGAGGUAAUGGCUCACCAAGGCGACGAUCCGUAACUGGUCUGAGAGGAUGAUCAGUCACACUGGAACUGAGACACGGUCCAGACUCCUACGGAGGCAGCAGUGGGGAAUAUUGGACAAUGGGCGAAAGCCUGAUCCAGCCAUGCCGCGUGUGUGAAGAAGGUCUUCGGAUUGUAAAGCACUUUAAGUUGGGAGGAAGGGCAGUAAAUUAAUACUUUGCUGUUUUGACGUUACCGACAGAAUAAGCACCGGCUAACUCUGUG